rnacentral:piRNA from 1 species
UGGUGUUUGCUACAGGAACAAACUGC